GGCAUUGGGAUCAUAUGUAAUCAACAUAGGAUAGUGUUCCAGCGAGACAAUCUAACCAGACGGCAUGAUCCAGCACUUUCUAUUCUGCACCACCCAAUCAUGCAAAUAAAAGUGCCAGAUGACUUGCGUGCCAUGGCAUAAAGAGCUGUUUGACAGCAGAAGGAUUUGUCAGGGGACACAAACUGAAAGCUGCUACCAGCUUCAGAUUUUGGAUUGGUUGUUGCCCAUCCAUCUGUCUGGAAAACGAAACCCAUUAGUUAUCUAGAAUGAGGCUCGCUUCGUACUGGUAGAUUGAUACUCUGUACAAGUUAGCCAGCGUCAAAUUAAAUGUUUUUUUUACUCGCAUGCAUGGGAGCAUCUCACGCACUUCAGAUUAGCUUGAGCAGAGACCAGGAAACAGAGGUCCUGUUUUUAGUACCUUGAAAACAAUGGAGCCAGAAGCAGCUGGGACAUGCAUAAACUUUCUAAUUUCAUCCUGGUUUGAGGCCAAUACAACCAGCACUGUAUGUUUCAAUUUCACAUGACAUCCUUUUGUUAGUGCUGGAUAUUUCUAUGUAGUUAUCAGGCGUUUUACUAGCUACAAGCUACUACCGACAUUGAUAGAUCAUUAAAGACGACAAAUUCUGCAGUUGCAGCAAAUAUAUUUGGUCCGAGAUUAUUAGGGACAUUAACAUCUGAUUUUUAGGUUGGACUUCUGGACGUGGCGAUUCUUCAGUAAUGGAAACUUAUUAGCUAAAACUUGUGCAUAUUAGUGUAGACAGUUGCAUAUUUAUCCCUGUGUUGAUUGCAUGCGG
rnacentral:lncRNA from 1 species